UGUAAGCGUUGAGCGUCCGCUGACAGAGCGCAGAGCGGACGCAAUCGUCUUUAUUGAAACGAACAAUCCCAACCAUAUCAUCUUCUUCGAAACGGGCCAGCGCAUCGCUAAGCCCUGAGCGAACGUGAGCUGGAAGAUCGCACUGGGUCACAUCCCCAUUCACAAUCACCGUCACAUUCUCCCCGAGGCGGGUC
rfam:Escherichia coli ISC11, WGS project CBWP01000000 data, contig: c4